UCUAGUAGCAGUAUAUAUGGAGUUGGAACAGAGAAAGGGGAUCGUUACAUCAGGAGUCCUCUGUGUUUACUGGGUGAUCGCAAACAUUGCUUACAUCAUCCCAUUCUACCUACACUUGAUUGAAAUGAUACAUAGUCCAAUAUCACUUUCAUUAUUCCAUUCUACUUACCCUUAAUUGAAAAGGAGUAUGAAACAUUGCUGCUGGGUUUUGUGAUGUCCAACAUUUACUUCCUCAUGAGUGUGAGCCAGCUUGUGUUGAGUUGCAAAUCAGAAGAGGUACCGGUCACUACAAGAAAGGU